rnacentral:rRNA from 1 species
CAGCAGCCGCGGUAAUACGUAGGGUGCAAGCGUUAAUCGGAAUUACUAGGCGUAAAGCGUGCGCAGGCGGUUCUAUAAGACAGAUGUGAAAUCCCCGGGCUCAACCUGGGAACUGCAUUUAUGACUGUAGAGCUGGAGUGCGGCAGAGGGGGAUGGAAUUCCGCGUGUAGCAGUGAAAUGCGUAGAUAUGCGGAGGAACACCGAUGGCGAAGGCAAUCCCCUGGGCCUGCACUGACGCUCAUGCACGAAAGCGUGGGGAGUAAACAGGAUUAGAUACCCCAGUAGUCCCUGUCUCUUAUAA